CGUUCCCGGGCCUUGUACACACCGCCCGUCACACCACGAAAGCCGGUCGGACCAGAAAUGGCUGUGCUAACCCGUAAGGGGGGCAGGUCCUUAAGGUCAUAUCGGUAAUUGGGGUG
rnacentral:rRNA from 1 species